AGAGUUUGAUCCUGGCUCAGGACGAACGCUAGCGACGUGCCUAAGAAAUGCAAGUCGAGCGAGGCCACGGAGCUUGCUCCGGAGGCCUAGCGGCGAACGGUCGCGUAACACGUAAGCAACCUGCCCCAAAGUUUGGGAUAGCCCUCCGAAAGGGGGAUUAAUACCGGAUGUGGAUGUUGAUAUGCAUGUAUUAACAUCUAAAGCAUUUAUGCGCUUUGGGAUGGGCUUGCGGCCUAUCAGCUAGUUGGUGAGGUAACGGCUCACCAAGGCGACGACGGGUAGCUGGUCUGAGAGGAUGGUCAGCCGGACUGGGACUGAGACACGGCCCAGACUCCUACGGGGGGCAGCAAUUAGGAAUCUUGCGCAAUGGGCGAAAGCCUGACGCAGCGACGUCGCGUGAACGAUGAAGUCUUUCGGGAUGUAAAGUUCUUUUCUGAGGGAAGAAGGAUGUGACGGUACCUCAGGAAUAAGCCCCGGCUAACUACGUGCCAGCAGCCGCGGUAAUACGUAGGGGGCGAGCGUUGUCCGAAUUUACUAGGCGUAAAGCGCGCGUAGGCGGACUCUUAAGUUGGUGGUGAAAUGCCGAGGCUCAACCUCGGAACUGCCUUCAAAA
rnacentral:rRNA from 1 species